CAAUAGCGUAUAUUUAAGUUGUUGCAGUUAAAAAGCUCGUAGUUGGAUUUCGGUUAAGAGCGACCGGUCCGCCGUUUGGUGUGCACUGGUUGGUUUUAACUUCCUGUAGAGGACGUGCUCUGGGCUUAACGACCUGGACUCGGAGUCUACGUGGUUACUUUGAAAAAAUUAGAGUGUUCAAAGCGGGCUUACGCUUGAAUAUUUCAGCAUGGAAUAACACUAUAGGACUCCUGUCCUAUUUCGUUGGUCUCGGGACGGGAGUAAUGAUUAAGAGGAACAGUUGGGGGCAUUCGUAUUUCAUUGUCAGAGGUGAAAUUCUUGGAUUUAUGAAAGACGAACUUCUGCGAAAGCAUUUGCCAAGGAUGUUUUCAUUA
rnacentral:rRNA from 1 species